rnacentral:rRNA from 1 species
AUGAACGCUGGCGGCGUGCCUAAUACAUGCCAGUCGAGCGAACGGACGCGAAGCUUGCUUCUCUGAUGUUAGCGGCGGACGGGUGAGUAACACGUGGAUAACCUACCUAUAAGACUGGGAUAACUUCGGGAAACCGGAGCUAAUACCGGAUAAUAUUUUGAACCGCAUGGUUCAAAAGUGAAAGACGGUCUUGCUGUCACUUAUAGAUGGAUCCGCGCUGCAUUAGCUAGUUGGUAAGGUAACGGCUUACCCAGGCAACGAUGCAUAGCCGACCUGAGAGGGUGAUCGGCCAGACUGGAACUGAGACACGUCACAGACUCCUACGGGAAGAAGCAGUAGGGAAUCUUCCGCAAUGGACGAAAGCCUGACGGAGCAACGCCGCGUGAGUGAUGAAGGUCUUCGGAUCGUAAAACGCUGUUAUUAGGGAAGAACAUAUGUGUAAGUAACUGUGCACAUCUUGACGGUACCUAAUCAGAAAGCCACGGCUAACUACGUG